rnacentral:rRNA from 1 species
UAGCUGAGAGGAGGUGCAUGGCCGUCGUCAGUCGUACUGUGAAGCAUCCUGUUAAGUCAGGCAACGAGCGAGACCCACGCCAACAGUUGCCAGCAUGUCCUCCGGGAUGAUGGGGACACUGUUGGGACCGCCUCUGCUAAAGAGGAGGAAGGAAUGGGCAACGGUAGGUCAGCAUGCCCCGAAUUAUCCGGGCUACACGCGGGCUACAAUGGUCAGGACAAUGGGUAUCGACACCGAGAGGUGGAGGCAAUCUCCUAAACCUGUCCUUAGUUCGGAUUGUGGGCUGCAACUCGCCCACAUGAAGCUGGAAUCCGUAGUAAUCGCGUUUCAAAAUAGCGCGGUGAAUAUGUCCCUGCUCCUU